UAGCAUGCGGGUGCUAUACAUGCAGUCGAGCGAACUGAUUAGAAGCUUGCUUCUAUGACGUUAGCGGCGGACGGGUGAGUAACACGUGGGCAACCUGCCUGUAAGACUGGGAUAACUCCGGGAAACCGGAGCUAAUACCGGAUAACAUUUUUUCUUGCAUAAGAGAAAAUUGAAAGAUGGUUUCGGCUAUCACUUACAGAUGGGCCCGCGGUGCAUUAGCUAGUUGGUGAGGUAACGGCUCACCAAGGCAACGAUGCAUAGCCGACCUGAGAGGGUGAUCGGCCACACUGGGACUGAGACACGGCCCAGACUCCUACGGGAGGCAGCAGUAGGGAAUCUUCCGCAAUGGACGAAAGUCUGACGGAGCAACGCCGCGUGAGUGAUGAAGGCUUUCGGGUCGUAAAACUCUGUUGUUAGGGAAGAACAAGUACAAGAGUAACUGCUUGUACCUUGACGGUACCUAACCAGAAAGCCACGGCUAACUACGUGCCAGCAGCCGCGGUAAUACGUAGGUGGCAAGCGUUAUCCGGAAUUAUUGGGCGUAAAGCGCGCGCAGGCGGUUUCUUAAGUCUGAUGUGAAAGCCCACGGCUCAACCGUGGAGGGUCAUUGGAAACUGGGGAACUUGAGUGCAGAAGAGAAAAGCGGAAUUCCACGUGUAGCGGUGAAAUGCGUAGAGAUGUGGAGGAACACCAGUGGCGAAGGCGGCUUUUUGGUCUGUAACUGACGCUGAGGCGCGAAAGCGUGGGGGGGAGCAAACAGGAUUAGAUACGGUAGUCCACGCCGUAAACGAUGAGUGCUAAGUGUUAGAGGGUUUCCGCCCUUUAGUGCUGCAGCUAACGCAUUAAGCACUCCGCCUGGGGAGUACGGUCGCAAGACUGAAACUCAAAGGAAUUGACGGGGGCCCGCACAAGCGGUGGAGCAUGUGGUUUAAUUCGAAGCAACGCGAAGAACCUUACCAGGUCUUGACAUCCUCUGACAACUCUAGAGAUAGAGCGUUCCCCUUCGGGGGACAGAGUGACAGGUGGUGCAUGGUUGUCGUCAGCUCGUGUCGUGAGAUGUUGGGUUAAGUCCCGCAACGAGCGCAACCCUUGAUCUUAGUUGCCAGCAUUAAGUUGGGCACUCUAAGGUGACUGCCGGUGACAAACCGGAGGAAGGUGGUGUGGAUGACGUCAAAUCAUCAUGCCCCUUACCUGGGCUACACACGUGCUACAAGUUGGAUGGUACAAAGGGCUGCAAGACCGCGAGGUCAAGCCAAUCCCAAAACCAUUCUCAGUUCGGAUUGUAGGCUGCAACUCGCCUACAUGAAGCUGGAAUCGCUAGUAAUCGCGGAUCAGCAUGCCGCGGUGAAUACGUUCCCGGGCCUUGUACACACCGCCCGUCACACCACGAGAGUUUGUAACACCCGAAGUCGGUGGGGUAACCUUUAUGGAGCCAGCCGCCUAAGGUGACAGAGUGG
rnacentral:rRNA from 1 species